AUGGAACAGAAGGAGUGGAAUCAACCAGGCUCUCAGGGGAAGACUGAGCACGACCACCUCUCUCCCAUCUCCACUUUGAACCAGCUCUUUCCCAAAGUCCCUCCCCACCAUCCCGGCCCCUCCAGGCAAGUGUGGGCUGCCCGUUCCCAUUCCCGGUGCUCUCCAGGCUGCUCUGUGCCGCAGCGGGGCAGGGCGAGCUGUCAGCACCGAUCAGUCCCCGAGGACCAAAUCGGCCUUGACGUUUCUCCCGAGCGCUGCUCCCUGGCCUGCGGUUUUCCCAAGGGCAGAGCAGCGCUCGCUGUCAGGGCUGGGAGAGCCAAAGUGGGGCACAGGGGAGAUGAGGCACCCCCAGACCUUGCUGGGUGGACAGGGCAGCGUUGGAGCAGGAGCUGCUCCCUGCUCCAGGUGCGAUGGAGAAAUGCUGAUGUGCCAAAAAUGAGGACUGUGACCAGUAAAGCUGGGCUGAAACCUGUGAUUUGUUUUAAUUUAUUUCUUUUAGAAGUAGCCCCGCAGCCUGGGCUCUCCCUGUCCUCCAGAUAUCUCUGGUUCCCCGCCAGCUCCUGGGAGAGAGCCAAGUGUGUCAUGUCCCCACCUUUCCCUUGCCUUGGGCCUUGGGGACAGGGACAGCCCCUCCUGCCAUGCCGGGGGCCAAACGGGACUCGGCGCAUCCUCAGAGCCCCAGUGCCCAGGGCACUGCUCCGUGCUGGGGGUGGCAGGAGAGGAGAGAGACGGCGAGGAUGGACCCAGGUCUGUGCCCCCUGUCCCACGCCCCUGGAGGGGUCCCUGUGCCAGGGUGGGGGCUUUCCAUGGGCGCUGCAGAAGCCACGCUCCAGGUGGGAUCAUGGAAUCAGGGAAUGGUUUGGGUUGGAAGGGACAUUAAACGCCACCAUGUUCCAGGCUGGAGAGCCAGCUGUCCUGGGAGAGGCCGGGAUGGCUGCAGCCCAUCGGGGUGGCGGUUUCAGCUGGCUGGGGGAGCCCAUUCCCUGGCACUGCUGGCCCGGAGAGGGCUCCAGCUGGGAAAGGUGGGAGGCUGCACAGAGAACCUGCCACGGCAGGCUCCCACCUGUGCCCAGCUCGUGCCGGUGCCCACCUGGGCACCCCUGGGUGCUGAGGUGA
ensembl:lncRNA